AGAGUUUGAUCCUGGCUCAGGAUGAACGCUGGCGGCGUGCCUAACACAUGCAAGUCGAGCGAUCUUCUUCGGAAGAGAGCGGCGGACGGGUGAGUAACGCGUGGGUAACCUGCCUCAUACACAUGGAUAACAUACCGAAAGGUAUGCUAAUACAAGAUGAUAUAGGAGAUUCGCAUGGAUUUCUUAUCAAAGCUCCGGCGGUAUGAGAUGGACCCGCGUCUGAUUAGCUAGUUGGUAAGGUAACGGCUUACCAAGGCGACGAUCAGUAGCCGACCUGAGAGGGUGAUCGGCCACAUUGGAACUGAGACACGGUCCAAACUCCUACGGGAGGCAGCAGUGGGGAAUAUUGCACAAUGGGCGAAAGCCUGAUGCAGCAACGCCGCGUGAGCGAUGAAGGCCUUCGGGUCGUAAAGCUCUGUCCUCAAGGAAGAUAAUGACGGUACUUGAGGAGGAAGCCCCGGCUAACUACGUGCCAGCAGCCGGUAAUACGUAGGGGGCUAGCGUUAUCCGGAUUUACUGGGCGUAAAGGGUGCGUAGGUGGUUUCUUAAGUCAGGAGUGAAAGGCUACGGCUCAACCGUAGUAAGCUCUUGAAACUGGGAAACUUGAGUGCAGGAGAGGAAAGUGGAAUUCCUAGUGUAGCGGUGAAAUGCGUAGAUAUUAGGAGGAACACCAGUAGCGAAGGCGGCUUUCUGGACUGUAACUGACACUGAGGCACGAAAGCGUGGGGAGCAAACAGGAUUAGAUACCCUGGUAGUCCACGCCGUAAACGAUGAGUACUAUGUGUCGGGGGUUACCCCCCUCGGUGCCGCAGCUAACGCAUUAAGUACUCCGCCUGGGGAGUACGCUCGCAAGAGUGAAACUCAAAGGAAUUGACGG
rnacentral:rRNA from 1 species